AUCUGGUGGAUGACUAGGCUUGGGAGCCGAUGAAGGGCGUGGCAAGCUGCGAUAAGCCUCGGGUAGGCGCAUGCAGCCGUAGAUCCGAGGAUCCCCGAAUGGGACUUCCCACCGUCCGUGAGGGCGGUGCUCCGUGAGGAGCGGGAACCCCCCGAACUGAAGCAUCUUAGUAGGGGGAGGAGGAGAAACCAACAGGGAUUUCCUGAGUAGCGGCGAGCGAAAGGGAAAGAGCCCAAACCGAACGCUCCGGCGAAGAGCCGGCGCGGAUGUGGGGUUUUGGGGUCGGCCGCUCCCUCCUCGGCGAAGUCGAAGUGUUCUGGAAAGCUCCGCCGUAGAGGGUGAUAGCCCCGUAGACGUAAGCCGAGAGGGACUGGGCCGACUUCCAGAGUACCACGCCUUGGGACUGGCGUGGGAAGAUGGGAGACAUCAACUUCCAAGGCUAAAUACUCCCCAAGACCGAUAGCGCACUAGUACGGUGACGGAAAGUUGAAAAGCACCCCGGGAGGGGUGUGAAAAGAGCCUGAAACCAGAUAGCGACAGACGUGUGCGGCCUGAAAGGGUAGAACCUCCCAGAAGGAGGCUACGGCGACGUAGCGGUACGAUGGGAGGGGACCAGGGUCGCACGUUCCGUCUAGAAACACGGGCCGGGGAGUUUACCGACGUGGCGAGCUUAAGGGUUCAAAGCCCGUAGGCGUAGGGAAACCGAAGUGCGAACAGCCGGCUUAGGCCGGUGAGUCGCUGGGUCUGAAAGGGCCCGGAGUCACGUCGGUAAGACUAGAAACCGGGUGAUCUAGGCCUGGGCAGGGCGAAGUCGGGCGAAAGCCCGAUGGAGGCCCGAAGGGGUGUUGACGUGCAAAUCACUCCUCUGACCUGGGCCUAGGGGCAAAAGACCAAUCUAACCCGGUGAUAGCUAGUUCCCUCCGAAGUUGGUCGCAGCCAAGCCCUGGGGGAGGUAGCUGGCGGGGUAGAGCACCAAUCGGGGGGUAAGGGGCCGAGAGGCCUCGCCUCCCUUUUGAACUCCGAAUACGCCAGCGCCGUAGAGCCCAGGAGACGGGUUGCGGGGGUUAAGCUCCCGUUCCGAGAGGGGAACAACCCAGACCACGGUUAAGGUCCCAAAGUGCUGGCUAAGUGCCAAACAAAAGGGCGUCCUGAACCUAAGACAGCGGGGAGGUAGGCUUAGAAGCAGCCAUCCUUUAAAGAAAGCGUAACAGCUCACCCGCCGAGGUCCAGGGCCCCGAAAAUGGACGGGGCUCAAGCCAGCCACCGAUACCGUGGAGCUGAGCCGUAUCGGCUCAGUCUGGUAGGAGGGCGUCCCGAUUGGGCAGAAGCUGGGCCGUGAGGUCCAGUGGACCGAUCGGGAUUGCAGAUCCCGGUGGUAGUAACAGCAAAGUCGGGUGAGAAUCCCGACCGCCGGAAGGGCAAGGGUUUCCCAGCGAUGCGUCGUCAGCUGGGAGUUAGUCGGUCCUAAGGCCAGCUUUAACAUGGCUGGUCGAAAGGGAAACAGGUUAAUAUUCCUGUACUGCGGGGGUACGUGUGGCGACACAAGCCCCGCGCACGACGCUUCGGGGUAGGCCGAGCAGGGCCGUCGCCCUGUUUAACUGUAUAAGCCUGAGGAGUACCGUAAUGGUGAGAAUCAGGCGAAAGCAGGAAUAGCCUCCCGCAUAGGGGGGUUCGGCCGAUCCCUGGAGACCUUGAAAAGUGCGCGGGGAAGGAUCCCCCGCAACCGUACCCAGAACCAACACAGGUGCCCAGGGUGAGAAGCCCAAGGCGUGUCGGGGCACUCCAGGCGAGGGAACUCGGCAAAUUAGCCCCGUAACUUAGGGAUAAGGGGUGCCUAUGGCCUUGGCCUGAGGGCUGGGGCCGUAGGUCGCAGUGACAAGGGGGUCCCGGCUGUUUAAUAAAAACACAGGAAGCCGCUAGCCCGAAAGGGUGUGUACGGCUUCUGAAUCCUGUCCAGUGGCGGUACCUAAAACCCGAUUCCAACCGGGCUAAGGGCCGCUAAACGACGGGAGUAACUCUGACUCUCGGGAAGGGAGUCGUUAAACCCGGCUAUAUGCGGGGAAGGGGGAGUAUCAGCCCCCCGAGGAGGGAAAAGUGGCUGAUACGGUGAUCUCGAUCCGCAGGGAACCACCCGGCUAAACUUAAUAUCGAGGACUCUCCCUCUCUUCUCUGGAUGGACGAUGCUCUAUGAAUUUUCCGACUUGAUCGACCCAAAGAGGCUGCCAAGUCGUCUAAAAUACCUCCAUUAUUACAUAGUGGGUCUGGUGGACGGCGAAGGCUGCUUCUCCAUCUCCCUCAAGAGACAGGAGGACACGAGGUUCGGAUGGGUCAUAGAUCCAGUCUUCCAUGUGACUCAAAGCAGUAAGCACAGAGAAGUACUCGAGAUACUUAGAAGGGUCUUCAAGUGUGGGCGGAUAAUACCAAAACCAGGGCAGGAAGAGACAACGCUCCAGUAUACCGUGGAUGCUCGCCGGCAUCUCGCGGAGAAGAUCGUUCCCUUCUUCAAGAAGCAUAAACCCAUCAUUAAGUGGAGGGAGUUCAAGUUCUUCGCAGAUAUCGUAGAGGCCUUGGAGCGGGGUGAGCACAGAGAUGCAGAGAAGUUCAAGGAGUUGGUAAAGAAGGUAUACGAGAUGUCAGAUAAGAGGAAGCACCAACUUCGAGAGAUAUUAUCCUACAUUAAUCGUCGGGUGGACGCCUCAGAGACCAUACGCCGGGUGCCCUCAGGGUGAAGAUGAGGAUGAGACCCUGAAGGGUGAAGAUAUGGUCCAGCACCCACUUCAUGGGUGUUGCUUAAGGUAGCCAAAUGCCUUGUCGGGUAAGUUCCGACGUGCAUGAAUGGAUCCACGAGGGCCCCACUGUCCCCGCCUGGAACCCGGUGAACCCACAGGCUGGAUGAACAGUCCAGCGACCCCCAGCGGGAAGAGAAGACCCCGUGGAGCUUUACUGCAGUCUGUCGCUGGGGCGUGGUCGCGUCUGCAGAGCGUAGGUGGGAGCCGGUGAGCCCACCCUUCCGGGGGUGGGGGAGGCGCCAAUGGAACACCACCCUUACGCGGCUGCGUCCCUAACCGGGGCCUCGAGCUCCGGGACACCGGCAGAUGGGCAGUUUGGCUGGGGUGGCACCCCCUUGAAAAGAUAUCGAGGGGGCCCAAAGGUCAGCUCAGAUGGGACGGAAACCCAUCGUAGAGGGCAAAGCCAAAAGCUGGCCUGACUGGAUCCUCCACAGUAAGGGAUCCAGGGGCGAAAGCCGGGCUUAGCGAGCUAUCGUGUCCCUCUUGAUGAGGGCCGGUAGUGACAGAAAAGUUACCCCGGGGAUAACAGGCCUGUCGCGGGCGAGAGCCCCCAUCGACCUCGCGGCUCGGUACCUCGAUGUCGGCUCUUCCUAUCCUGGCCUUGCAUAAGGGGCCAAGGGUGAGGCUGCUCGCCUAUUAAAAGGGAACGUGAGCUGGGUUUAGACCGUCGUGAGACAGGUCGGACUCUAUCUGCUGGGGGUGUUGGCCGUCUGAGGGGAAAGUGUCCUCAGUACGAGAGGAACGGGACGCUGCAGCCUCUGGUCUACCGGUUGUCCGACAGGGCACCGCCGGGCAGCCACGCUGCGACGGAUAAGGGCUGAAGGCAUCUAAGCCCGAAGCCGUUCCCAAAAAUAGACGGCCAUUCCCCGUCGAGCGGAC
rnacentral:rRNA from 1 species